AUUGAACGCUGGCGGCAUGCCUUACACAUGCAAGUCGAACGGUAACAGGUUAAGCUGACGAGUGGCGAACGGGUGAGUAAUGUAUCGGAACGUGCCCAGUCGUGGGGGAUAACUGCUCGAAAGAGCAGCUAAUACCGCAUACGACCUGAGGGUUAAAGCGGGGGAUCGCAAGACCUCUCGCGAUUGAAGCGGCCGAUAUCAGAUUAGGUAGUUGGUGAGGUAAAGGCUCACCAAGCCGACGAUCUGUAUCUGGUCUGAGAGGACGAACAGCCACACUGGGACUGAGACACGGCCCAGACUCCUACGGGAGGCAGCAGUGGGGAAUUUUGGACAAUGGGCGCAAGCCUGAUCCAGCCAUGCCGCGUGAGGGAAGAAGGCCUUCGGGUUGUAAACCGCUUUUGUCAGGGAAGAAAAGGUUCUGGCUAAUAACUGGGACUCAUGACGGUACCUGAAGAAUAAGCACCGGCUAACUACGUG
rnacentral:rRNA from 1 species